AUACGGUAUUGAUGGGAAAACGUGGGCUGCUGCAUCCGGUGGUUCUAGGAGUCGGUCUCUUUCUCCUCGUGACCGUCGCAGAGUGCAGUAUUCUGGAGCUCUGUAUUCUAUCUGAUUUUUAACCAUAUAUACAGUCAGCUACCACGCGCAGUGAUUUUGUGUUCGCAAUUAUAAGUUGGUUUCCAUCAACCUCCACAAUCUGCCCAUAUCCACCGAGGUGUACAUAACCCCAAGACCACGGCAGCACCUACCGUCCCUGCUUUUCGACAGCCCACCGGGAGAAAGAAAAUCCACAGUUCGAAAUUGUAUCAAUUGAAGUGGUGCAGUUCCCAUUGGGGAAUCGCACCACUAGUACAGACGUAGUGAUACCUAGUUAUGUAUGUCUG